CUUACCCCCUGAAGGUGCCAUUUCCUGUCCAAUCUGAUCUUAAAUUCAAAGUGUUUACAACAGAAAAGUGUUCAUUUCUUCCAGAAUGACGUUGGUUCUAAUCACAUAUGUCUCACCAUGCCUACAGUCAGAGGGAACAGGGGGUGGGUAAAGGAGAGCAUUACCAGUGAUGAAAUAUGUUAUUGAGUUGUUAAGGGAAGAGAGGAAAAGUGGACGGAUUUUAAUUGAUAGUUUGAGUCUUCUUUUUUCAAGUCAGUGAAUCAUCCAUAUAAUAUUUCAGUGCUAAUGAUAAAGUAGGGCAAAAACAUUCUCUCUGUCUGUCUCUCCCUCUCCCUCUUCCUCUCCCUCUCCCCACCCCCUCUCUCUGUCUGUCUCUGUUUGUCUGUUUGUCUCUCUCUAUCUCUGUCUCUCUCUCUCUCCCUCCCUCUCUGUCUCUCUUCUCUCUCUGUGUCUUUUUCUAUCUGUCUGUCUGUCUGUCUCUCUUCUCUCUGUGUGUCUCUGUUUGUCUCUCUCUAUCUCUGUCUCUGUCUCUCUCCCUCUCCCUCCCUCUCUGUCUCUCUCUGUCUAUCCUCUCUCUCUGUUUCUCUAUCUGUCUGUCUGUCUGUCUGUCUGUCUCUCCCUCCCUCCCUCUCUGUCUCUCUUCUCUCUCUGUGUGUCUCUUUCUAUCUGUCUGUCUGUCUGUCUCUCUUCUCUGUCUGUCUCUGUUUGUCUCUCUCUGUCUCUGUCUCUCUCCCUCUCCCUCCCUCUCUGUCUCUCUCUGUCUAUCCUCUCUCUCCGUUUCUCUGUCUGUCUGUCUCUCUUCUCUGUCUGUCUCUGUUUGUCUCUCUCUGUCUCUGUCUCUCUCCCUCUCCCUCCCUCUCUGUCUCACUCUGUCUAUCCUCUCUCUGUGAGUCCUAUCUAUCUGUCUGUCUGUCUGUCUGUCUCUCUUUUCUCUGUCUGUCUCUGUCUCUCUCUGUCUCUGUCUCUCUCCCUCUCCCUCCCUGUCUCGCUCUGUCUAUCCUCUCUCUGUGUGUCUCUGUCUGUCUGUCUCUCUCUCUCUCUCACUCACACACACACACACACACACACUAAAAUGAAAGAAUUGAAUUAGUUUAACCAGCUCUCUUCCAUUU
rnacentral:lncRNA from 1 species